rnacentral:lncRNA from 1 species
UAACAAAAACUCAAAAACACACAUCUGGGUGUGUUGGAGUUCGACGACCAGAAGGGAAAAAAGGGGGUAAACCCUAGUUGAUCAAAAAUCCAGCAAUUGAUAAGGGAUUUCAAGGUUUAGUUGAUGCAUGAAGCUCAAUUCUCGACCAUCUAACCUUUCUUAACAAACGCAAUUGUUAGAAUGUUGGAUAAAGGAGGAGAGUUCGAGUCGCACAAAGCAAGAAGGAAAUCAAGACCGAGGUACGUUAGUGUACACCCUAUUUAUAUUAUGAUAUUAUAUGCAUUAUAA